AAGACCGCCUCUCGAGACGGGAUGUGAAAAACGAUCCAGUGGUUGAGUGUUCGUUGGCUUCGGCGGGAGAUUUCCUGACGGCGGCCGCGGCGGAGGCGUGCGUCCCACGUGGUGGAGGUGAUUCUGGUAUCCCAGCACAGCUCUCUUUGCCCCCACUAGACUCACGCUCCACAGUCACUUGUUUGGCGUCCCCGCGGGCCCAUUCAGCACUUCUGCCUAAGGCUAAUAACUCUCUCCCUCCUCCGCUGGCCACAGACGAGGUGACGAGAUGGUCUAUUGGAGAUGAGAGAUGUGGAGAUGUAAUGUCAGUGUAGAGAAGCGUAAGGUUCCUCCCCCGCGAGAGAAGAGUGGACUCGGCCGCUACCACGCCGUGCUUCAGUGUUGUCCGCGACGUCGUAGUGAGUGGACCUGUACGCGGCUCAGCAGCUUCUCUGUCUGCGUGGCUGGCUGGGUUCAGCGUCGUGCUGGUGUGUCUGCCAGUGGAUAUCUUGGCACUUAGGGAAUUACGGAGGCCGAGUGUCGACCCUGUAUAGUGAGAAUUAUUUAGUGUAGUGAUGGUGAAGAAAUAGUAAGAGGCUAUGUACGAUAGUGCGAGUGGCGGAAUCCCCCUUACUAGCGCCGAGACUAAACCCUUCGACGGCGCACACCGUCAGGCCGAAAGGAGAAACGUCUUGGCUACAGUCUCUCAGGAGAACGUCCACGCUCUCGACCUCAACAUGAACUCAGGAUAUUCUCUCUACCCUCAGGUAUGUGUCUAUCUGGUGGCGUGACCUGGUAUGGAGCUUAAAAGUAAGAUAAGUGUUGACCUUAUGAUAAGAGAUAAGCCCGGCAUGUAUGUGAUGGACCUUUUGGCAAGUCGGUAAGUCCCCGAAGAGGUUUUCACAGUGACGUAGAAAUAAAAAGAAAAGAAAAAAAAUGAGAUACGUGACGAACGAAGUUGUUUGUGAAAAAAGGACAGUGCUAUUGGUGAUUGUUCUGGCUAAGGUUACAAGACACUGAUAACGUGGUUUGAUAAGUAUUUUUCUUAAUUGAUAGGUCGAAUUAGGCAAGACUAGAAGGGUGGGUUAUCAUAUGUCCAACUUUGUCAAGGAUAGUUGAGAUGCGUAUUUUAUGAAGUGGAGUUUUAAGAGGUUUCUUACGAGGAAGAACCACCUUUCAUUGCCAUUUCCUUAGGUGACAGCCAGAAGUCAAUUCGUAAAGAUAAGAAAGCUUUCACAUUGGUUAAGUGAAGUCCAUCUUGUGCGUUGAGA